GAUCAACGCUGGCGGCGUGCAUGAGACAUGCAAGUCGAACGGAUGACUCGGGCUUGCUCGAGUCGUUAGUGGCGGACGGCUGAGUAACGCGUGGGUGACCUGCCCCGAAGUGGGGAAUAACUGCCCGAAAGGGUGGCUAAUACCGCAUGUGGUGGUGCGUUCAAUUGCACCAGUAAAGCCGCAAGGCGCUUCGGGAGGGGCCUGCGUCCGAUUAGCUCGUUGGUGGGGAACGGCUCACCAAGGCGACGAUCGGUAGGUGGUCUGAGAGGACGAUCACCCAGACUGGGACUGAGACACGGCCCAGACUCCUACGGGAGGCAGCAGUCGGGAAUUUUGCUCAAUGGGGGAAACCCUGAAGCAGCAACGCCGCGUGAGGGAUGAAGGCC
rnacentral:rRNA from 1 species